UACGUAGGGGGCAAGCGUUGUCCGGAUUUAUUGGGCGUAAAGAGCGUGUAGGCGGCCACACAGGUCUGCUGUGAAAACUCGAGGCUCAACCUCGAGCUGUCGGUGGAAACCGUGUGGCUAGAGUCCGGAAGAGGAGAGUGGAAUUCCUGGUGUAGCGGUGAAAUGCGCAGAUAUCAGGAGGAACACCGGUGGCGAAGGCGGGUCUCUGGGCAGUAACUGACGCCGAGGAGCGAAAGCGUGGGGAGCGAACAGG
rnacentral:rRNA from 1 species